GGCCGCCUGGCGUAAUGGCAACGCGUCUGACUACGAUGACCUGAAACGAUUGUCGACAAUCAGGAGAUUGCAGGUUCGACCCCUGCGGUGGUCA